rnacentral:rRNA from 1 species
GUGGGGAAUAUUGGGCAAUGGGGGAAACCCUGACCCAGCAACGCCGCGUGAAGGAAGACGGUUUUCGGAUUGUAAACUUCUUUUAUCGGGGACGAAAAAAAUGACGGUACCCGAAGAAAAAGCCACGGCUAACUACGUGCCAGCAGCCGCGGUAAUACGUAGGUGGCAAGCGUUGUCCGGAUUUACUGGGUGUAAAGGGCGUGUAGGCGGGACUGCAAGUCAGAUGUGAAAUACCAAGGCUUAACCUUGGGGCUGCAUUUGAAACUGUAGUUCUUGAGUGAUGGAGAGGCAGGCGGAAUUCCUAGUGUAGCGGUGAAAUGCGUAGAUAUUAGGAGGAACACCAGUGGCGAAGGCGGCCUGCUGGACAUUAACUGACGCUGAGGCGCGAAAGCGUGGGGAGCAAACAGGAUUAGAAACCCCUGUAGUCC